GAUGAAGAACGCAGCGAAAUGCGACAAGUAAUGUGAAUUGCAGAAUUCCGUGAAUCAUCGAAUCUUUGAACGCACAUUGCGCCCCCUGGUAUUCCGGGGGGCAUGCCUGUCCGAGCAUCAUUGCUGCCCUCAAGCACGGCUUGUGUGUUGGGCCUCCGUCCUCCUCCCGGGGGACGGGCCCGAAAGGCAGCGGCGGCACCGCGUCCGGUCCUCGAGCGUAUGGGGCUUCGUCACCCGCUCUUGUAGGCCCGGCCGGCGCUUGCCGACACAUCAAUCUUUUUUCCAGGUUGACCUCGGAUCAGGUAGGGAUACCCGCUGAACUUAAGCAUAUCAAUAAGCGGAGGA
rnacentral:misc_RNA from 1 species